CGGGUUGUCAUGCCAAUGGCAUUGCCCGGUAGCUAAGUGCGGAAGAGAUAACCGCUGAAAGCAUCUAAGCGGGAAACUUGCCUCGAGAUGAGUCUUCCCUGUCGCUUUAAGUGACCUAAAGGAACGUUUAAGACUAAGACGUUGAUAGGCUGGGUGUGUAAGCGUAGCGAUACGUUGAGCUAACCAGUACUAAUGAACCGUGAGGCUUAACCU
rnacentral:rRNA from 1 species